rnacentral:rRNA from 1 species
AAUAGAUACCCUGGUAGUCCACGCCGUAAACGAUGGAUGCUAGCUAUUGGGGGGAAUCGACCCCCUCCGAAGCGAAGCUAACGCGUUAAGCAUCCCGCCUGAGUAGUACGAGCGCAAGCUUAAAACUCAAAGGAAUUGACGGGGACCCGCACAAGCGGUGGAGCGUGUGGUUUAAUUCGAUGGUAAACGAAGAACCUUACCAAGGUUUGACAUCCCGGUAACCGUUCUCCGAAAGGAGAAUUUCAUUUAGUUGGACCGGUGACAGGUGAUGCAUGGCCGUCGUCAGCUCGUGUCGUGAGAUGUUGGGUUAAGUCCCGCAACGAGCGCAACCCUUAUGAUUUAGUUGGAUUUUUCUAAACAGACUACCCUGGUAACAGGGAGGAAGGAGGGGAUGAUGUCAGGUCAGUAUUUCCCUUACACCUUGGGCGACACACGCGCUACAAUGACCGGUACAAUGGGCAGCUAAGCCGCGAGGUGGAGCAAAUCCCAUCAAAGCCGGUCCCAGUUCGGAUUGCAGGCUGAAACCCGCCUGCAUGAAGCCGGAAUCGCUAGUAACCAGCA